GCUCGCCGCGUCGGGCCGCUCUCCUCCUGCUGGAGAACCGCGGCGGCGCCUCGUGCUCGCCGAGCAGCCGUUACACGCGCCGGCGGCCGGAGACUGCGCGAGCCGCCCCAGCGGCAUCCACCGCACCCACCCGACCUGCAGUCCGGCCGCCCCUCAGGGGCGCUGUUCAAGCAGUCCUUUAAAACACGAUGUGCAGCACGUUCACGGGCGUUUUAAUGUCACUUCAACACCACACGUUCAACUUUCAGAAAUCCAUCCGAGGAGUUUAUAAGUGAUCUCGUAACAAACUACAAAUCCCAGGAUGCAAAAGUAGUGGCGCCUGCGCAGACUUAAGGUGAAACAUUGCGGCAGGAGUUGGUCGAGAAAGUGACGGGUCAAUCAGGAAUUUAAUCAAGUAUAUAUGGGAUUGUUUUUCUUUGAAUUACACUGUACAAUAUUUAGAGUGCUGUGUACUGUUCGCUACAUUGCAGGGAGGACUUGGUAACUAUCGAGAGUGCAGUAGAGAUUCACCAGGGUGUUACCUGGAAUAGGAGAGCGGAGGAUGCUUUAUUUUCACUGGGAUGUAGGAGGCGGGGAGAUGAACUUAUAGAGAUUUAUAUGUUUAUGAAGGAUGCAGAUAGGAUAGUCUGAUUUUUCCCCAGGCUUGCUGAGUCGAACUAGAGGUUGCAGAUUUAAGAUGAGAGAAGAGAAAAGUAAGGGAGAUUUGAAGGGUAAAAUAUUUUUCGUACAAAGUGUGGUAAACAUUUAGAAUGAGUUGUCAGAGUAGGUGGUGAAGGCAGGUAAAAUUACAAUGUUUGAAAGGUAUUUGGGCAGACAUGUAGAUGAGAAAAACAAAGUGAUAUAUUGUGCUGAUAUGGGGAUAUGAGCGUUGGCACGUGGCCUAGUGGAUAAGGCAUCAGGCUAGUGAUCUGAAGGUCACUGGUUUGAGCCUCAGCUGAGGCAGCGUGUUGUGUCCUUGAGCAAGGCACUUAACAGCACAUUGCUCUGUGAUGACACUGGUGCCAAGCUGCAUGGGUUCUAGUGCCCUUCCCUUGGACAACAUCAGUGGUGUGGAGAGGGGAAGGCUUGCAGCUUGGGCAACUGCCGGUCUCCCAUACAACCCUACCAAGGCCUACGGCCUGGAAACUUUCCAAGGCGCAAAUCCAUGGUCUCACGAGACUAACGGAUGCCUAUUAUUAUGGGGAUAAGGGACUUGAAGUGUUUUGGAUUUUGAAAUAUUUGCACUUACCUUAAAUUUUCAGAUCAUGGUGAUAGAUCUUUCUUUAUUUUAUGAACACCAUACCAUUAAGUCAUAUUCACUCCAAUGUUGACAAAUCCACUCUUCCAACACAUGUCAAGAUCUUCACUUUUCACUUUAUAAGGUAUUUUUCAUUAUCUUCUGUUCAUUACAUAUGUGAGGUCACUUCUGUGAUGCUCCGAGACCUGCACAUCACCUGGGAACCUUCCCAUCGCCUUAACACAAGAAAAUCUGGUUGCACAAAAUGCAUGGCACUAUUUUCUUUUAAAAAUUGUGGUGAUGAAACAUCUGUUGAUUACAAAACAGCAGAGAAAUCCAAAGCAACAGGCAUAAAAUGCUGGAAAAAUUCAGCAGGUCAGGCAGCAUCUAUGGAAAUAAAUAAACAGUUGACGUUACGGGCCAAGGCCCUUCUUCAGCAUCUUGUGGAAUUAUCCAUUUAUGAGGAGUCAACACUCAAAAAAUUUUGAAAUUUGGAAUUUUGGAUAAAGGAUGCCGGAUGUGUUUGAGCAUUAUCUAGCAUGGAGGAGAUGAAGCUCUGAUUAAUUCACUGAAACAUCUUCAUCAGAAUAAAAUCAACCCAUGCAUACCACAAAUGUUGAAACGGUUAAAUUAUUACAUAGAAAUGAAUCUACGACAAUGAAAAGAUGACCAGUGUUGGAAAUGGAAUCAAGUAAUACCCAUCUCAUUGGAUACAUUUGUCUCCAGUAUUAUCCCCUACUGUAGAAGCAGAUGGACCUCAGAACUGAGCACAUUUCUUCACUCAUGACUCUUGUAAGUUACUGGUUGAAGACCUGACUUUUUAAAGACAAUCAGGUCUUGGUAAUUUCUGAACAAGUUGCACUGUUUUUCUGCUAUUAUUCAUAGAAUCCAGGAUACUGUGUUGGCUCCCUAGUGUCAGGGUCAAAGAUAUCUCCGAGUAGGUACAGGGCAUUCUGAAAGGGGAGUGGGGGCAUCCACAGGCCAUGAUCCAUAUUGAUAUGAAUGAUUUGAGCUGGAAGAGAAACAAGUGCUGCAGAGAAAAUGAUGGGGUUAGGCAAAUAGUUACAAACCAGGCUCUCAAGGGUCAUUGUCUUGGGAUUACUGCCUGUGCUGUGUAGUAAGUAAGGGUUACACUGAAACUGGAGGGGCCACAAUAUCCUUGCAAGAAAGGUGUUACGUGGGAGGAUUUAAACUAGUG